rnacentral:rRNA from 1 species
CCUACGGGGGGCAGCAGUGAGGAAUUUUCCGCAAUGGGCGAAAGCCUGACGGAGCAAUAUCGCGUGAGGGAGGAAGGCUCUUGGGUUGUAAACCUCUUUUCUCAGGGAAGCGGUACCUGAGGAAUCAGCAUCGGCUAACUCCGUGCCAGCAGCCGCGGUAAUACGGAGGAUGCAAGCGUUAUCCGGAAUGAUUGGGCGUAAAGCGUCCGCAGGUGGCUUAUUAAGUCUGCUGUUAAAGCGUCUGGCUUAACCAGAUAAAAGCAGUGGAAACUAUUAAGCUAGAGUGCGUUCGGGGCAGAGGGAAUUAAGAGAGUAGCGGUGAAAUGCGUAGAUACUCUUAAGAACACCAGUGGCGAAAGCGCUCUGCUGGGCCGCACUGACACUCAUGGACGAAAGCUAGGGGAGCAAAUGGGAUUAGAUACCCUUGUAGUC